UACGAAGGGGGCUAGCGUUGCUCGGAAUCACUGGGCGUAAAGGGUGCGUAGGCGGGUUUUUAAGUCAGGGGUGAAAUCCUGGAGCUCAACUCCAGAACUGCCUUUGAUACUGGGAAGCUUGAGUCCGGGAGAGGUGAGUGGAACUCCGAGUGUAGAGGUGAAAUUCGUAGAUAUUCGGAAGAACACCAGUGGCGAAGGCGGCUCACUGGCCCGGUACUGACGCUGAGGUGCGAAAGCGUGGGGAGCAAACAGG
rnacentral:rRNA from 1 species